rnacentral:rRNA from 1 species
GACGAACGCUGGCGGCGUGCUUAACACAUGCAAGUCGAACGGUGAACCCCUUCGGGGGGGAUCAGUGGCGAACGGGUGAGUAACACGUGAGCAACCUGCCCCUGACUCUGGGAUAACCCCGGGAAACCGGAGCUAAUACCAGAUACGACCUGCUCGGGCAUCCGAUGCGGGUGGAAAGAUUUAUUGGUUGGGGAUGGGCUCGCGGCCUAUCAGCUUGUUGGUGGGGUAAUGGCCUACCAAGGCGACGACGGGUAGCCGGCCUGAGAGGGCGACCGGCCACACUGGGACUGAGACACGGCCCAGACUCCUACGGGAGGCAGCAGUGGGGAAUAUUGCGCAAUGGGCGAAAGCCUGACGCAGCGACGCCGCGUGAGGGAUG